rnacentral:rRNA from 1 species
UACGGAGGGGGCUAGCGUUGUUCGGAAUUACUGGGCGUAAAGCGCACGUAGGCGGCUUUGCAAGUUAGAGGUGAAAGCCCGGGGCUCAACUCCGGAAUUGCCUUUAAAACUGCAUCGCUAGAGUUGUGGAGAGGUAAGUGGAAUUCCGAGUGUAGAGGUGAAAUUCGUAGAUAUUCGGAAGAACACCAGUGGCGAAGGCGACUUACUGGACACAUACUGACGCUGAGGUGCGAAAGCUAGGGGAGCAAACAGG